UGGAAUGCUUUCAAAUUAAAAAAUAGCAAACAAUAUUAUAUAGAGAGAACCUUUUCUGUUGGAUAAUACAUCCACUGAUACAGAAUGAGCAGUGGAGUAGUCAUUUCACUAAUUUGGUGUCCUAUGGAGCCAGGAGCAGGUAGACUGGUCUAGUAAAUGGAUUUUGUUUCGUUUUCCAAAAAUUAAAUACAUGUAUUGCAUUUCCUGAAGGGCUUGGGGGAAUCUGUUGGAUUUCACAGUGAAUGGGCUUAAUAUCACACAUGUUAUUGUAAACGUCCAUGAUUUGGAAGGGCUUGCUAGAGCUGCGACCAGAUAUAAGGAAUUUACGUGCUUUCUUUUCAGGCCUUAGGGUGGAAGGCAGACCCUCUCGGAUGCGUAAUGUAACAGCGCCGCCUGCUGGUGAUAUUGGACAACAACAAGCACGCUGGUGUGGACACGCACAGAUCCGCUCAAACUGCCUCGUAGAUACUGUGGCUGAGAAUGUCCUUCUCCCUUGCAUAAAAGUUCAACUGUGAUGUAUUUACUGCCUCUCCCAGUAAAUAGAAAAAUAACACACUACUACAUUGAAGGUAUGUUUUACAAUUACCAUUAGCAGCAUUAUUGAACUUUCCAUAAUUGGGGUUCUACAGAGUUAAAUACUUUUAAAACAGGCAACAUAUAUUCUUAUUAUCUCAGUCUCCCAUAAAAACCUGAGUACAAAUUCAGUCACUUAAGUCACUCACAGCUAACCCAGGUACACAGCUGGUAAGAAAAGCUGUCAGUUGCCAUCUCUUCAGCAUGGUCCUACUGCAUGAGUACUAU
rnacentral:lncRNA from 1 species